rnacentral:misc_RNA from 1 species
UUUAAAUAUUAUUAAUUGGCCAUGUUAUUUUGUUGUAGUAAUUUAUGAAUAGAUAGAUGCCUGUAAGGCUUACGACAACCGAUCAUCAAUUGUUUUAUGGUCCAUCUGUUUUGGGGUUAUUUGGUUUCUCAUUAUGGUUUAGGACCAAGUGCCAAAAAAAAACAGAAAAUGAGGAGGCCUGGGUUUGAUUUAUUUUUUUAAAAAAAAAAAAAA